rnacentral:rRNA from 1 species
UACGGAGGGUGCAAGCGUUAUCCGGAUUCACUGGGUUUAAAGGGUGCGUAGGUGGGAAUGUAAGUCAGUGGUGAAAUCUCCGUGCUUAACACGGAAACUGCCAUUGAUACUAUGUUUCUUGAAUUAUCUGGAGGUCAGCGGAAUAUGUCAUGUAGUGGUGAAAUGCUUAGAUAUGACAUAGAACACCAAUUGCGAAGGCAGCUGGCUACAGGUGGAUUGACACUGAGGCACGAAAGCGUGGGGAUCAAACAGG